rnacentral:rRNA from 1 species
GAUGAACGCUGGCGGCGUGCUUAACACAUGCAAGUCGAACGGAAAGGCCAGUGCUUGCACUGGUACUCGAGUGGCGAACGGGUGAGUAACACGUGGGUGAUCUGCCCUGCACUUCGGGAUAAGCCUGGGAAACUGGGUCUAAUACCGGAUAGGACAAUGGUUUGGAUGCCGUUGUGGAAAGUUUUUUCGGUGUGGGAUGAGCUCGCGGCCUAUCAGCUUGUUGGUGGGGUAAUGGCCUACCAAGGCGUCGACGGGUAGCCGGCCUGAGAGGGUGUACGGCCACAUUGGGACUGAGAUACGGCCCAGACUCCUACGGGGGGCAGCAGGGGGGAAUAUUGCACAAUGGGCGCAAGCCUGAUGCAGCGACGCCGCGUGGGGGAUGACGGCCUUCGGGUUGUAAACUCCUUUCGCUAGGGACGAAGCGUAUUUGUGACGGUACCUGGAGAAGAAGCACCGGCUAACUACGUG